UCCUGUAAAGGAAAGAGAGGCAAGC
rnacentral:piRNA from 1 species